rnacentral:rRNA from 1 species
AGUGAACGCUGGCGGUAGACCUAACACAUGCAAGUCGAACGGCAGCACAGUAAGAGCUUGCUCUUACGGGUGGCGAGUGGCGGACGGGUGAGGAAUACAUCGGAAUCUACUUUUUCGUGGGGGAUAACGUAGGGAAACUUACGCUAAUACCGCAUACGACCUACGGGUGAAAGCAGGGGAUCUUCGGACCUUGCGCGAUUGAAUGAGCCGAUGUCGGAUUAGCUAGUUGGCGGGGUAAAGGCCCACCAAGGCGACGAUCCGUAGCUGGUCUGAGAGGAUGAUCAGCCACACUGGAACUGAGACACGGUCCAGACUCCUACGGGAGGCAGCAGUGGGGAAUAUUGGACAAUGGGCGCAAGCCUGAUCCAGCCAUACCGCGUGGGUGAAGAAGGCCUUCGGGUUGUAAAGCCCUUCUGUUGGGAAAGAAAAGCAGCAGGUUAAUACCCCGCUGUUCUGACGGUACCCAAAGAAUAAGCACCGGCUAACUUCGUG